rnacentral:rRNA from 1 species
GGAUUGUAGUCUGCAACCCGACUACAUGAAGCCGGAAUCGCUAGUAAUCGCGGAUCAGAAUGCCGCGGUGAAUACGUUCCCGGGUCUUGUACACACCGCCCGUCACACCAUGGGAGUCGGAAAUGCCCGAAGCCGGUGACCCAACCCGAAAGGGAGGGAGCCGUCGAAGGCAGGUCGGAUGACUGGGGUGAAGUCGUAACAAGGUAUC